UGGUGUCCUACAGGUUCCCAGGGAGAGGCUGACACAGUGACCAGUCCAGGACACCAAUGACAUGAAGGCCAGGAAAUCCACAUAGGCCCAGGAGGCCAAGGUCAUGGGUCAGCACCACUAGGCAUCCUUCCACUCGUGAGGUCACCCAGGGAUCCCACAGUGUGUGCUAACCACCUACUACAUGGGGUACGCCAGUUAACCAAGACAGAUGUGCCUCCCCUUGUGAAGCUGACAGUGUCCUCACAGGCCUUGAACAUCCC
rnacentral:lncRNA from 1 species